rnacentral:rRNA from 1 species
GUACACGCUGUGACUAGCAUAUCAAUAAGCGGAGGAAAAGAAACUAACAAGGAUUCCCCUAGUAACGGCGAGUGAAGCGGGAAGAGCUCAAAUUUGAAAUCCUAAAGGGUUUCCCUUUACGAAUUGUAGUUUAAAGAAGUGUUUUCUGUUGAGGUUUUGGUAAAAGUUCUUUGGAAUAGGACAUCAUAGAGGGUGAGAAUCCCGUAUUUGACCUUUACUUUCAACUUUGUGAUACACUUUCAAAGAGUCGGAUUGUUUGGGAAUGCAGUCCAAAAUGGGUGGUAAAUUUCAUCUAAAGCUGAAUAUUGGCGAGAGACCGAUAGCGAACAAGUACCGUGAGGGAAAGAUGAAAAGAACUUUGAAAAGAGAGUUAAACAGUACGUGAAAUUGUCAAAAGGGAAGCGUUUGACACCAGUGUUGUUUUUCUGAAAAUCAAUUAAAGAACUGUUUAUGCUAAGCUGUUUAGACUUUAUCAGCUAUCUGUUUAGUUUUGAGCUUUUCUUUAAUGCACUUUUCAGUUAACAAGUCAACAUCAAUUUCUUUUGCUGUAAAAAAGCUUGAGGAAGGUGGCUUGAGAUUCGUCUUAAGUGUUUAUAGCCUCUUGCCUAUGCAGUCGGAGAGAUUGAGGUCUGCAGCGUAGAUCCUUCGGGGCUAAAUGCAUUUGUGCUAAGUUAUAGCAUUUUAUAGACAACUUGUUGACUAUGAUUUGUCUUGUAGCUUACUCGCUUAUGUUAUUUUACCUACGCUUAGGAUGUUGAAGUCAUCGUAUCGCGC